ensembl:lncRNA
UGUUUUAGAAUUUUUUUUUUUUUUUUCCUUCCAUAAAACCAAUAUUUCGAGCAUCUAUUUAUAAGCCUCGAAGCGUUUUAAUCAGCUACGAUGACGCACUUUGAGUGCUUGACCAACCCACACAAGUGAUCGCUUUUAUGGACUGAGUCACAUGUUGCGCAACAGCUGUGAAAUAGGAGCAUAGCUUGUUUUUCAUGAUCCAAAAAUAUCAGCAGAAGACUGAAGUACGGAGGAAAGUUGAAAUGGACUGAGUUAAUCUUAUUCAGUAACGACCUAGCGCUUAGAUGACAACGGAUGGAAGAAAAGAUCUACAGCAGAGGCCAGGACCAGGGAGAAUCAAGACCAGAUGGCGAGCCAGGCAGGACCAGAGAGGAACCAGGGGAGGAUCAGAGGGCACAGAGCAGGGCGAGGAGCAGCAGUAUCCAGAGGGGGAGCCAGAGCCACAGGGCAGAGUAGCGUCAGGACAACUUUCGCCACCAGAGGGAGCUCAGCUGGUCUAGAUCAGAGCAAGCCAAAGAUGAAUGUCCCAACAGCUGCAGAGAAAGAAAGAGGGCUCACGAGCAGAGAGUAUCAGGGGUCUUCACCAUAUCAGAGUCAUGAAGGGGGCAUUUGGUUUGUAUGGGUAGAGGCGUGGCCCGUGGAAAAGUCGUCCCCAUAUCCGCUUAAAUCCAUUAGGUCUGUCCUGAGAAGCAAUCCACAUGCGAAGGGUUUUUCGGAGUUGAAGUUCCUCUGCGUCUGUCCCUACACGACACAACUACCUCUACUGCACCCCCACUGCGUCAGUCCGACAUAUGAUGCCAGGGCAGCUGCGUAUUGCCUGCCGGCCCUGGUCACAUUUAGAGGCGAUAGAACCAAAAGGGAUUCCAGGAUGUUGUGUGGACCCUUUUAGAGUCAAAUUGUUGACUGCUCUGUAACGAUUCUUACAAAGCUACAAGGAAAGCCUCUACUUUGAUGGGAUUUAGGAAGGUACCUCAUUGAAUUUAAGUCGUGUUUGGAAUUGUGAACCAUAUACUUGCAAACACAUUUUCCAGUAUUGAAUGUUGGGGAUUGUCAUGGGCAUCGGGGUGGGAG